GGGGCUGCUUUCUGACGCUUUCAUCGUCUGACUCUUCAGACACAACGCCUUCUUGGGCCUGCUUCGUCUAAUAUGUUAUUGGUGUAAAUUGAGUCUUGGAAAGACCUAAUAUUUACCCUUGCCUUUUUUAGCAGAAGCACUGUGCCCAGCAGCCACUGUGAUUAUUUCAGAUGAUAUCAAAGAAGAAAAUGUGUUAUUUGAUCAAAACCACCCACAAAACGUGAAAAAAAAAAAAUUCCUUGGGAGUUCCUGCUGUGGUGCAGGGGAAACGAAUCCAACUAGUAUCCACGAGGAUAUCCUUAACCCACUGAUCNAACUUACUCUUUGACCCAAGUUUUCCUACAGAUAAAAGGCAGGCAGAGGACCUGGGAGGGGAGGGACCAUCGGAUUUUACUGGGACUCCCACCCCAGUUCUCCUUCGUACCCACCAUACGAGACAUCGCACCCUGUUUCUGCCAGGACAGAGAGUAGAGGAGGAUGGGUUACUGGAGACGCCAAUUAGAGGAGGUCGCCCGAGAGCAGAGUCUCUUUUCUCAUGAGGAUAAAGAUGUCCUUGUGAGUUAGACUCCUGUCUGUGAACCUUGGGGACAUUGAUGGCAGGGGAAGGGUUCUAAAGCCUUAGUCAGCUCCGAGGUGAAAUAGGCACCAUGCUGCAAAUGAAAGGCCCUUUAGAAAAAGGUAGAGCACACUGCUUUCAACUUGGGAAGCCCGAGUGCCCGGCAUAGUCCAGUGUGGUCCGGAGGCUUUGGUCUUUUGUCUUGGCCAACAGGUGGUAAAGCAGAGAGAGCUCGUUGCUGAGCGGGACUUGUUCCUGUUGGGAUAAUAUUCCUCGGACCACAGGUCUGCUCAUUUUCCAGGCUGUUUUUCUUUUGGAGAAACAGACUCAUACUUUGUAGUAACAAAUUGCAUAAUUCGGGUGGAGCCUGCCUGGCUUUCCCACCGAUUUUGCUCUUCCUCAGUGAAAGCCACUUGUUAGACAUUAUUCCUGGUCUUUAUGCACAGUUGAAAGCCUGACUUUGCCCAGUGGGGAAGGUGGGCUUCUCUGUAACUUCUGGGCUGGUGGAAGAAAACAGCUCCUUCCCUAGGGCUUGUAAGACCCAGAAAGCAGAGGAGAAAGUGUGUUUUUCUCUGCAGAAUUUCUGCCUUGGUUGGAGGCAAGGCCAAGCUGGGGGAAGGGAUACUUGACAUUAAUUUAUAGAGCACCUACUAUGUUCCAGGUCAUAUUCUGUGUGCUGGGGAGAGAGCCACCAACAAAAUGGGCAAAACCCUCUGUUCUGGGGGGGGAGGUGGUGUGUGUCAGAAAUAGGCAUUCACGGGUCACCUUGCUGUACAGUAGAAAAUUGACAGAACACUGUAAACCAGCUAUAAUAGAAAAAAUAAAAA
rnacentral:lncRNA from 1 species